GNNAAACNUGACGCUGGCGGCGUGCUAACACAUGCAAGUCGAACGAGAAGCUAAGUUGAUUCCUUCGGGAUGAUGAGGUUGGCGAAAGUGGCGAACGGGUGAGUAACGCGUGGGUAAUCUACCCUGUUUAGUGGGGGAUAACCCUCCGAAAGGAGGGCUAAUACCGCAUAAUAUCUUCUCCUCAUAAAGAGAAGAAGAUUAAAGAUGGCCUCUAUACUAUGCUAUCGCUUCAGGAUGAGCCCGCGUCCUAUUAGUUAGUUGGUGGGGUAAUGGCCUACCAAGACCACAAUGGGUAGCCGGUCUGAGAGGAUGUACGGCCACACUGGGACUGAGAUACGGCCCAGACUCCUACAGGAGGCAGCAGUGGGGAAUAUUGCGCAAUGGGGGAAACCUGACGCAGCGACGCCGCGUGGAUGAUGAAGGCCUUCGGGUUGUAAAAUCCUGUUCUGGGGGAAGAAAGCUUAAGGGUCCACUAAACCUUUAAGUCUGACGGUACCCCAAGAGAAAGCUCCGGCUAAUUAUGUGCCAGCAGCCGCGGUAAUACAUAAGGAGCAAGCGUUAUCCGGAGUUAUUGGGCGUAAAGAGCCCGUAGGCGGUCUUAAAAGUCAGUUGUGAAAUUAUCAGGCUCAACCUGAUAAGGUCAUCUGAAACUUUAAGACUUGAGGUUAGAAGAGGAAAGUGGAAUUCCCGGUGUAGCGGUGAAAUGCGUAGAUACUCGGGAGGAACACCACUGGCGAAGGCGGCUUUCUGGUCUCUCUCUGACGCUGAGGAGCGAAAGCUAGGGGAGCAAGACGGGAUUAGAUACCCCGCGCUAGUCAUAAGCUGUAAACGCAUGGCAUACUAGGUCGUGGGAGUAUCGACCCUUCUGUGCCGCAGCUAACGCUUAGCAUCCGCUGGGGAUUAGGUCGCAAGAUUAAACUCAAGGGAUGACG
rnacentral:rRNA from 1 species